rnacentral:lncRNA from 1 species
GGUGGCGCGUCUCUUGGGAAGAACGAUAUUGGGUUUACCAAUUAUAUUACUUGAAACGAUCUGGUACACUUGUCAGAGAGUCAACAGAAUCCUCCUCUCCAGCUUCAGCAUCCUCAAAAUCAGCAUCAUAAUCCUCCUUAGCAUCCUCAUCCAUGGCUGGAGCUUCAGCUGCUCCAGAUCUACUGCCCUGCGCCUAUUUUGACCAAGCCACUACAUUGUUGAACUCGUCCAUAGUCGACCUAUGUGCAGGAGGAGUGUCGUACAAGCCUAUGACCAUCUCUGUUGUAGC